rnacentral:rRNA from 1 species
UCGCUUUGGGAGGAGCUCGCUUACUAUCAGCUUGUUGGUAGGGUAAUGGCCUACCAAUGCUAUGACGGUUAGGGGGUGUGAGAGCAUGACCCCCAGCAUUGGCACUGAAACACUGGCCAAACACCUACGGGUGGCUGCAGUCGAGAAUCUUCCACAAUGGGGGAAACCCUGAUGGAGCGAUGCUGCGUGCGGGAUGAAGGCCUUCGGGUUGUAAACCGCUUUUGUAGGGGACGAAAUUUUUGACGGUACCCUUUCGAAUAAGAGGUUGCUAACUCUGUGCCAGCAGCAGCGGUAAUACAGAGACCUCAAGCGUUAUCCGGAUUUACUGGGCGUAAAGCGUCUGUAGGGGGUUUAUUAAGUUCCAAGUAAAAUUUCAAGUGCUCAACUUUGAAUUCGCUUGGAAAACUAAUAAACUGGAGUCUAGCAGAGGUGCAUGGAACUUGUGGUGUAGGAGUGAAAUCCGUUGAUAUCACAAGGAACACCAAAGGCGAAGGCAUUGCACUGGGCUAGCACUGACCCUGAGAGACGAAAGCGUGGGGAGCAAAACGGAUUAGAUACCCGUGUAGUCCACGCCCUAAACGAUGAAUGCUAAAUGUUCGGGGAUUCGACCCCCUGGGUGUUACAGCUAACGCGUUAAGCAUUCCGCCUGGGAAGUACGGCCGCAAGGCUAAAACUCAAAGGAAUAGACGGGGAUCCGCACAAGCGGUGGAGCGUCUGGUUUAAUUCGACAGUAAGCGUGGUACCUCACCAGGGUUUGACAUCCCUUGACAGCCUUGGAAACAAGGUUUCCUUCGGGCAAGGUGACAGGUGCUGCAUGGUCGUCGUCAGUUCGUGCCGUGAGGUGUUCCGUUAAGUCGGGAAACGAACGAAACCCCUAUUGCAUGUUACAAUUUCUCAUGCAAGACUGCCCGGAUAUACUGGGAGGAAGGUGGGGAUGACGUCAGAUCUGCAUGGUCCUUAUACCCUGGGCGACACAGGCGCUACAAUGGCAGAGACAAAGGGUUGCAAAACCGCAAGGUGAAGCUAAUCCCAAAAACUUUGUCUAAGUUCGGAUUGAAGGCUGCAAUUCGCCUUCAUGAAGCUGGAAUCGCUAGUAAUCGUGAAUCAGCCACGUCACGGUGAAUAUGUUCCCGGAUCUUGUACUCACCGCCCGUCACACCAAGAGAGUUGGUAGCUCACCGAAGCGUCCCGUUUUAGCGGGGC